rnacentral:rRNA from 1 species
UGGCGAACGGGUGAGUAACACGUGGGCAAUCUGCCCUUCACUCUGGGACAAGCCCUGGAAACGGGGUCUAAUACCGGAUACGACACUCUCGGGCAUCCGAUGAGUGUGGAAAGCUCCGGCGGUGAAGGAUGAGCCCGCGGCCUAUCAGCUUGUUGGUGAGGUAACGGCUCACCAAGGCGACGACGGGUAGCCGGCCUGAGAGGGCGACCGGCCACACUGGGACUGAGACACGGCCCAGACUCCUACGGGAGGCAGCAGUGGGGAAUAUUGCACAAUGGGCGAAAGCCUGAUGCAGCGACGCCGCGUGAGGGAUGACGGCCUUCGGGUUGUAAACCUCUUUCAGCAGGGAAGAAGCGAAAGUGACGGUACCUGCAGAAGAAGCGCCGGCUAACUACGUGCCAGCAGCCGCGGUAAUACGUAGGGCGCGAGCGUUGUCCGGAAUUAUUGGGCGUAAAGAGCUCGUAGGCGGUCUGUCGCGUCGGAUGUGAAAGCCCGGGGCUUAACCCCGGGUCUGCAUUCGAUACGGGCAGACUAGAGUGUGGUAGGGGAGAUCGGAAUUCCUGGUGUAGCGGUGAAAUGCGCAGAUAUCAGGAGGAACACCGGUGGCGAAGGCGGAUCUCUGGGCCAUUACUGACGCUGAG